rnacentral:rRNA from 1 species
UACGUAGGGGGCAAGCGUUGUUCGGAAUUACUGGGCGUAAAGGGCUCGUAGGCGGCCAACUAAGUCGGAUGUGAAAUCCCCAGGCUUAACUUGGGAACUGCAUCCGAUACUGGAUGGCUUGAAUCCGGGAGAGGGAUGCGGAAUUCCAGGUGUAGCGGUGAAAUGCGCAGAUAUCGGGAGGAACACCUAUGGCGAAGGCAGCUCGCUGGGACGUUACUGACGCUGAGACGCGAAAGCGUGGGGAGCAAACAGG